rnacentral:lncRNA from 1 species
UGCUAUUGGAUUUCUGUCUUCUGCUGGGGGAGAUCCGUCAAUGUCUAUCCGUGAAUACCUUCAUUCAGGGUUAAAGAUGACACUUACAAAUGGCUUAAAAAGCGGGAAGGUAAAUCUAUGAUUAAAAUAGUAUAACUCUUCAAUCUUUAAGCGUUUUCAUCUUUAAUUGGACAAAUUUUUAGCGUACAUCAGUGGUUGUUUACCUAAUCUUGAAACUAAAAAGAAGUCCCUUUCUGCAAAAUUUUCUUGCUUAAUUUCCAACGUUGUAGUUAAAUCUAAGAUAAAUUUUGAACAAGCCCAGAUUGCAACGUCAUUUUCUCUAAGAUUGAGUGAAACCAACCGUCUGUGGGAACCAAAAUAACUCGUGAUACCUCUAUUAAGGGUUAUCCUUCCGCUAAUAGUUGUUAAAUAACCGGUAGUUAAUUAUAAUAAUAAACGUUAAUUCAAUUUUGUUUUGUACUGAACGACUGUGCCUAUAUUUUUGUUUGGAAUUAGUUGUUGUAACUUGUGUAUUAAAUUUAAUUAGUGUUAAACUAAUUUUUAUACAGAUUAUUUGAAAUAGAGUUUUAAGAUGCCCCUAGAUGAGCCUUGUAUCAUAUCUUCUUGAAUGAUAUUAAAAUAUGUUUAUACUAACUUCUGAUGUUUCUACUGAUGAGAAUAUAAAUUUUCCUCUUUUAGGCUGAGCAGUUUUGUGAACUGCAACAUAUUGUAUCACUAUGGUUGUUGUUAUCUUUAGAAAGAGCAAGAGUAUUGACAAAGCGUAAACAGG